CUUGCCCCUAGAGGAGUUGCAGGUGUGACUGCUGUGCCAUAUGUGUCAUAGGUAGCAAAGAGGAAAGAGGUUCUGUAUAUAUUCAGUGUUCUAUAUGCAAACAUGUGAAUGAUUAGUAGCUUAACACU
ensembl:snoRNA Gm23477 small nucleolar RNA SNORA17